UGCUCCAGCUCGGAUACCAGGUUUUAGUAUACGCUAAUUGUUAAUUUGAUGCGAGCACAAUUGCUUAUUUUUCUGAAUUAUCACUGUUGCACAAAUCUUGGUUUUAGUUUCCAGGAUGCCUCCAGCUUUAUACACAUUUGGAGUUUUACUGCUCAUGCUUACAAGAAAAGUGGAGAGUGUUACCUUUGAACAGUCCUCUCCUCAACUUGUGCAGGAAGGGACUGACGAGCUCAGGAUUAACUGCAGUCAUGAUGACAGCAGCCUCCAAGUUAUGCUGUGGUACCAACACCAAACUACACAGAGCAGGCGCUCUAUGAGCCUCAUCGGGUACACAGUCCUCCAGGGUGAUCCAAGCUACGAGGACCAGUUCAAAGACUCCAGAUUCCAGAUUAAGGGAAGAGGCACAUCGAAAGGAUCUCUGCUCAUUCGCACAGUGAAUCUAUCCGACUCAGCUGUGUAUUUCUGCGCUGCCAGCACACAGUGAUGUGGUUUGAUGCCACUGCUUCACUAAAAACCUCCUAGGACUUCUAACAGCUGCUGC